AUUUUUUAGACAAAAAACUCAAUCCAUAAAAUCAGCAAAAUCUCAAAGUACUUCAGCAAAUCUCAAAAGAUCUCUAUUAACUCUUGCGCCUCUGCUCGAAGUACUUCAACCGCACUCGGAUUUGCUCCUCCUUCAUUAUUAGUCGUGUU